GCGGGGGUAGCGAAGCCUGGUCAAACGCGCAGGACUCAGAAUCCUGUCCCUUAGUGGGUACGAGGGUUCAAAUUGCUGCACGCGAGCAUGCGUGGGCAUGCAUGUCCCUUCCCCCGCA
rnacentral:tRNA from 1 species